rnacentral:rRNA from 1 species
AUUGAACGCUGGCGGCAUGCUUUACACAUGCAAGUCGAACGGUAACAGGCCGCAAGGUGCUGACGAGUGGCGAACGGGUGCGUAAUGCAUCGGAACGUGCCCAGUCGUGGGGGAUAACUACUCGAAAGAGUAGCUAAUACCGCAUACGAUCUAUGGAUGAAAGCGGGGGACCGUAAGGCCUCGCGCGAUUGGAGCGGCCGAUGUCAGAUUAGGUAGUUGGUGGGGUAAAGGCUCACCAAGCCAACGAUCUGUAGCUGGUCUGAGAGGACAACCAGCCACACUGGGACUGAGGCACGGCCCAGACUCCUACGGGAGGCAGCAGUGGGGAAUUUUGGACAAUGGGCGCAAGCCUGAUCCAGCAAUGCCGCGUGCAGGAAGAAGGCCUUCGGGUUGUAAACUGCUUUUGUACGGAACGAAACGGCUCUGGUUAAUACCCGGGGCUAAUGACGGUACCGUAAGAAUAAGCACCGGCUAACUACGUG